CCCUAUGAAACUGGGGGCGACAUAUCCCCCCGUCCCCCCCGCCAUCUGCGCCCCUGCUUGCAGUACUACCACUCAAUCCCGCAGGACCAGGUACUCGCUUAUCAAAUCUAAGGAGCACUUGUUAAUGGGCUGUAUACACUCAUUCGAUGUGUCAAGCUGGCCAUUACAGAGCUGACACACUCGGUAGUUUAGCCUAGUGCAUGAAUGUAUUAGCCUGAUUUUGCCCUUCAGGGUUAGAGCAUAAAUUGAAAUAGAGUUGGGGCUUCAGUGCAUUUACUCUGUGUGUUGACAAUCUUUACAGUGCCUAACCUCAUCUUCUGUGUUUCUGUUUUCCUGGGGUUCCUGCCCCUCUCUUGCCCUGAUUUCACAGAGUGCUGCAGCCUUAUUUCCUCACCCUGAGUUCACACAGUGCUCCAGCUUUGUUCCUCACCCUGAGUUCACAGAGUGUUCCUGCCUUGUUUCCUCACCCUGAGUUCACACAGUGCUCCAGCCUUGUUCCUCACCCUGAUUCACAGAGUGUUCCAGCCUUGUUUCCUCACCCUGAGUUCUUAGAGUGCUCCUGCCUUUCCCUGCCCUGAGUUCCAUGGCCAUGGACCACUGACGCCCUGCUUCUCCCCUGCCCAUGCCUCGGUGCAGCCUGGAGCUCCAGAGGGUACCUAAUCCUGGUCACGCUGUGGCUGACAAGCCAGCGCUUGUACAGACAUGAGCCAGAGGAAGACACUUCACCUGCAGCUGAACGGGCCCUGAGACAGGGUGGGCGUGACCACAUCCCCAAUUCACCUCCUAAUUGAUUUCAGCCCUUAGCCAUUUUCUCACUCCGUUCAGGUCACAUUCCUCACACCCCCCUUAUUAGUUCCAAUUAGCCAAAGUAUAAAAGCAUGCUUUUCGUUUCAGUUUUUGCCAGAUCGUUGAUUUGUUGUCAAGCCUUGAACCUAGCAUUUCUUGCUUUGAACCAAGCCUAGUAAUCAUUUCCCUGUACCCUGAUUUCUUAGUACCUUCCUUUGUUUCUUUUUUUGACAGAACCUUUUGUAUUCACUCAGUUUAUUUGGUUUAUGCACUUUAGUUUCACAGUGUUCCCCAGCCUGUCUUGUCCACGUGUUUUGUCCUCGUCUCGUAUUGUUUCGUGUUCUCUCUCCUUCACCCUGUUUACCUCCCCAGCUCCGACCU